rnacentral:lncRNA from 1 species
UUAUUAUUAUUAUUAUUAUUAUUAUUAAUUUAUUUUGGGAGAGUGUUACAUUAAGUUUCUUUAUCCUCACAGCAAAUUCAGGAUCCUCCUACUGUGGUCUCCCAAGUUGUCUACUUUACAGGCAUUUAUCACCAUUUCUGGCUUCCAGCACAUUUCUUUUUUAUUGGAGACAGGGUUUUGCCCUCUUUGACCUUGAACUUGCACAAGUUGGCCUUAAACUUGUAAUCCUCUCCUUUAGCUUCUUAAAUAUAUGGGAUUAGUUGUGUGCCAUGAUCCCAGAUAUUAUUAGUUUUUUGAGUAAUAUGCACAGUUUUUCAUAUCAGCUACCCAAUUUACUUGCACACACCCGUGCAUAAGUGUUGAUUUUUCUCCACAUCCACAUCAGUGUUUGUCACUUUUCUAAGUUAUAGAUUCUGACUGGGAUGAGAUGAUACCUC